rnacentral:rRNA from 1 species
UACAGAGGUCUCAAGCGUUGUUCGGAUUCAUUGGGCGUAAAGGGUGCGUAGGUGGCGCUGUAAGUCGGGUGUGAAAUUUCGGAGCUUAACUCCGAAACUGCAUUCGAUACUGCGGUGCUUGAGGACUGGAGAGGAGACUGGAAUUCAUGGUGUAGCAGUGAAAUGCGUAGAGAUCAUGAGGAAGACCAGUGGCGAAGGCGGGGUCUCUGGACAGUUCCUGACACUGAGGCACGAAGGCCAGGGGAGCAAACGGGG